UACGAGGGGGGCGAGCGUUGUUCGGAAUUAUUGGGCGUAAAGGGUGCGUAGGCGGUUUGGUAAGUCUUAUGUGAAAUCUACAGGCUCAACUUGUAGUCUGCAUGAGAAACUGCCGGGCUUGAGUAUGGGAGAGGUGAGUGGAAUUCCUGGUGUAGCGGUGAAAUGCGUAGAUAUCAGGAGGAAUACCUGUGGCGAAAGCGGCUCACUGGACCAUAACUGACGCUGAUGCACGAAAGCUGGGGGAGCAAACAGG
rnacentral:rRNA from 1 species